rnacentral:rRNA from 1 species
UACAGAGGUGGCAAGCGUUGUUCGGAAUUACUGGGCGUAAAGGGCGCGUAGGUGGCCUUCUUAGUCAGACGUGAAAUCCCGGGGCUCAACUCCGGAACUGCCUUUGAAACUGCAUCGCUUGAAUGUCGGAGAGGUGAGUGGAAUUCCGAGUGUAGAGGUGAAAUUCGUAGAUAUUCGGAAGAACACCAGUGGCGAAGGCGGCUCACUGGACGACUAUUGACGCUGAGGUGCGAAAGCGUGGGGAGCAAACAGG